AGGACACAGCAUGGACACGAGGACCCCCACUCAGCUCCUGGGGCUCCUGCUGCUCUGGCUCCCAGGUGCCAGCUGUGCCAUCCAGAUGACCCAGACUCCACCCUCCCUGUCUGCCUCUCUAGGAGACACAGUCACCAUCAAUUGCCAGGCCAGUCAGAGCAUUAGUAAUUGGUUAGCCUGGUAUCAGCAGAAACCAGGGGAUUCACCUAAAUUGCUGAUCUAUAAGGCAUCCAAUUUGGAAACUGGGAUCCCCUCGAGGUUCAGAGGCAGUGGGUCAGGGACAGAUUAUUCUCUGACCAUCAGUGGUCUGCAGGCUGAAGAUGUUGCAGAUUAUUACUGUCAGCAGUAUAACAGUUACCCUCCCACAGUGUUACAAGUCAUAGCAUAA